UUUGAAUUUUGUUUUCUAUUAUGUGUUUCCAGUGUUAUAUAUCUCUAUGUGAAUUACUUUCAAAUUGUUAUAAUAGUUCGAACUUUCUGCCAUUGGCAGAAAAAUGUCAUUUCCAAGAGCACAAGUAAAACGUUUCAAUGAACAGCCAGGAUGUGCACCUCCCCCUGGUCAUUAUACUGUGCCUGAUGUAAAAAAGAGUGGUUCUGGUAUCUUGUCUUUUGAAACUGGAGGACAGAGAUUCAAAACAGAGAAUAAAUCGGAGAGAGAUGCCAUUGAUGAUGUCACAGAACAACUUUCUACCGCAUUAAUCAAUCACAAUACACAUUCUUCAUCAAAAAAGAAAUUGGAUUUUGCUGUUCCUGCACCAGUUUCAACGAAAUCAAAAUCCAAUUCAAAUAAAACGAACACCUCAUCCAUCUCCAUCUAUGAAUGGUAAAGAUAAACAACGAUAAUGAAAAAGAAAUCCCGAAAGCCUGGUUCAACAAAUUAGCGAACAAAGAGAGAAAUUACAACUUAAAA